CAAACAAUAGAAUCUCUAUAAUGGCUCGGUUUCAGACCCAGUCCCGCAAUUUUUGGAGACCCUAUUCUCAGGAAUAGGGUG
rnacentral:snRNA from 1 species